GACUGGCUCCGUGAAUCAUAGAACCACAGACCAGUUUGGGUUGGAAAGGACCUUAAGAUUAUCUAGUUUUAACCUCCCUCCCAUGGGCCGGGACACCUCCACUAGACCGAUUUGCUCCAAGCCCCAUCCGACCUGGUCUUGAACACUGCCAGGGAUGGGGCAGCCACAACUUCUCUGGGC